AGCAGCCGCGGUAAUUCCAGCUCCAAUAGCGUAUAUUAAAGUUGUUGCAGUUAAAAAGCUCGUAGUUGAAUUUCGGGAUCAAUUAGUCGGUCGUGCCUCUGGUACGUACUGGUUUUAUUGGUUCCUCCCUUCUGACGAAACAUGAUGUCAUUAAUUUGGUGUCGUGGAGAAUCAGGACUGUUACCUUGAAAAAAUUAGAGUGUUUAUAGCAGGCUAACGCUUGAAUACAUUAGCAUGGAAUAAUGAAAUAGGACGUUCGACCCUAUUUUGUUGGUUUCUAGGAUCGACGUAAUGAUUAAUAGGGAUAGUUGGGGGCAUUAGUAUUCAAUUGUCAGAGGUGAAAUUCUUGGAUUUAUUGAAGACUAACUACUGCGAAAGCAUUUGCCAAGGAUGUUUUCAUUAAUCAAGAACGAAAGUUAGGGGAUCGAAGACGAUCAGAUACCGUCGUAGUCUUAACCAUAAACUAUGCCGACUAGGGACCGAGUGUAUGUUAAGUUUUUUAAUUUUAGUACUCUACUUC
rnacentral:rRNA from 1 species